GGGGAUGCGCAGGCGCCGUAGCGUACUCUUGCGCUGAGUUCGUGGAGACCCGCCUCCUCCAAGCCCCUCCUCUGUUUGAAUUUUCGUUUGCUGAGCCAGGUAGUUUUCUACUCAGUUUCCGAAUCCCUGGGUGGAUUUCAAAGCGCUACCGACUUAUACGGUAGACAUUUCAUAAAUUCUUGUCGGAUAUUUAUUCUGUUGAUAAUUUGUUGUAAUGAAUUAUCCUUACCAGUUGAUACCUAUAGUGGCUAAGACUUAAACAGAAAUAUCCUAAAAAUUAAGAGUCUAAACUCCAAUGAGUUACAGCCGAUGUGCUCUUUUUAGCUACUGAAGGAUAGGCCCUGAACUGUGCCAAGGCCUGUAAAUCAGCGUUCAUCUCCAACUAUUUCGAGACUGUGAGACGUGCCAGAUAACAUUGUUGAGCCUUGUGGAAUUACUAUAUGGGCCAUUAAACCAUAACUGAAUGAGCAGCAGCAGGAAAAGGAGAAUGACGAUGAAUAAUAAAAUACAGCCUCCCCCACCCUUUUUUUUUUUUUUUUUAAGAACAUGAUUCUGACUACUUACCUUUCUGGGCUUCUGUAAAAACGUCCUCAUCUGUAAAAAUGAGGAGGUAGGAAGGGGCCUACCAUUUCUUGGGUACCUACUUCAUGUAUAUCUUUUCUCUUUUAGACCUCAUUACCCACCUAGAGUGCACCAUCCAUAAAAUUCUAGUAUACUUGAAUUACUUCUGCAUGAUAACUUUAUAACCAGGUCAUCAGUUUCCUUAUCUGCAGAUUCCAAGUUACUCUUUCUUUUGUAGAUAAAGAGAGAACUCUUGGUUGAGAAUGAGAAAAGGAAGUAAAGCAAAGACAGGUCAGAGUAAGAGGUUUUUGCAGUGAAGACUUUGAAAUAAAGAAGCUGAAAAAAAUUAACGUUCAGGUCUCAAUGACUGCAGUCAAUUGUUCAGCACUUGCAACGUCCCAGGCACUACUAAGCACUCCUCAGUUGGUGAGGAAGAGAUGAGACUGGAGUAGAGUAAGCACCUGAGAAGGUAAGACGUGCUUUGGUGUGACAUUUUCAUCAGCAGACAGAAGCAUCCUUCCCUUUCUUGAGAACAUCUUUUCCAAUAAAUGGAAAGAUGUUUCUGAAAUAUAGUUGUACAAGUAAAGGCUAAUCAACGAAAGCAUUUCAAGUUAAAAUUAUUCUGUGUGUGAGAGAUCAGUGGGAGCUGGGAAGUGGGAGUCAAUGUCUAGUCAUAAAAUUAGAAAAGUGCUGAACAUUUGGUUAAAGGACACAUAUGGUAGAAAAUGCCUUACAGCAUUCAUAUCUGUAACAAAGCAAAAAUAAAGAGACUUAUUAAAACUUGGAGGGAUUAUUUUUUAAAUGUUUCUGAUGAAUCAGGGGUGAUAAAUGGAAAUUAGUUUCUAUUACUACAUUAUUAUUACUACAUUAAAGAAAAAUAUUCUGACACUUGUUAAAAUAGUAAGGCGCACUUCAUUCAGGACUAUUUUGAUAGAUGUCAAGACACUGAGAAUGGGAGAGAGAUUAGGCUCAACUCCAAAUUACAGCAAGGAGUGGGGAUUUAUAGGCAAGGAGCAGAGUUGGAGGGGUUGGUGGUUGGAAAAUUACUAAGAAGAGACAUCAAGGGUGGGGAAAUUUUUGCUAAACCAACUUAACAGAAUUUGUGCUGAAAAAAGGCCAAGGUGAUCAGAUAUCAAGAGUGUGGGUUUCUUUCUAAACUGACACAGAAUUCUUGCUACAGCUGAGCCAGGCAAGCUAGACAGGAAGAUGGAGAAGAGGGCUCAGAGGAGAGUCUUUGUUACUAAUUUAAGAUAUGUAAAAUGUCACAGGUAUUCUAUGCAGAGUACUACUUUUAUGGUAUUAAUUUAAUAACUUUAAAAGUUGAAUUACCUAUUAGAAAUCAUAAGUUUUGCUGAGUGUGCUAAUGUACACCUGUAGUUCCAGCUACACAAGAGGCUAAGGCAGGAAGAUUGCUUGAGCCCAGGAUAUCAAAGCCAGACUGGGCUGCAUAGGGAGACCUACUUCUCUAAAAAAGAAAAAAUCAUAAGUUUUUCAGCACUGCAUUCUCCUACUGAGAAACAUGUCAGGAACCAUCACAGUCAGAGAGGUCUUACCACCCACAUUUUACAAAUGAGGAAACUAAGACUUAGGAUAAGCAAACACUAUGCCCAAAGACACACAGAUCUUCAAAUGGCAGAACUAGAGAUUUUGUUCAAUUGAUUGGAAAGUCAAAGCACUUAUACUUCAAGAUGAGUGACCCAAGCAGUUCUAGAUUUAUGUGACUCUAUGUGCAGAGCUUGGUCUUUAGACCACACAGUCGUUUAUGAAGUAUCAAAGAACCUUAAAAAGCUAUCUUACUUGGGACAGAAAGAAGGUAAAACUGGAAAAACCCGGGAAAACAAAGAAUCUAUAGCAUAGUUUAUAGUAAUGUAUGGAUUUCAGUCUUUACUUAAUUUUGACCAAUGUACCAUAGUAAUAUAAGAUUUAAUAAUGAGGGAACCUGGAUAAGAGGACUAUAGGAACUCUCUAUGCUAUUUUUGUUCUUUGUAAAUAUUCUAUGAAAGUAUUCUAAAAUAAAAAACUUACUUUAAAAUAUCUAUGUCAUAUUUCACUGUUGAGAAUUCAGUAAGAAAUACCCCUUAGCCUUCAAAUAAGUAGCUGAUCCAUCUUGAAACUUUCCAAGAUCAUUUAGUUAAAUAGAAAAAGAAAAUUCACAGCCUUCCUUGGCAUUGUCUCCUAGUAUCUUGUAAGCUUCAUAUCAGGAAAUGAGUUUCAAAAGCUAAAUUAAAUCCUUCCCAUUUCAA